UUUCUUAACCCAUUGGAUUUCAGAGCUAACAACAAUUCAUGGUUUCCUCCUCCCGUGCUUGAGGGCUUGAGGCUGUGGGGGUUUUGGUGUCCAGAAGCCAGCACGCCCACCCAUUGCCAUUGGCACCCCCCAGAUCAGAUGAAGAGCAGAGCACGCGGCGGCGCUUGGUCGGGUCGUACAAGAGAAGGUCUUGGCCGAGAAGGAACCCCAGGUAGGUGGCCUGAUCGAUCUCCAUUUGCCAAGAAUAGCAAGGACUCUCCGACCGAUCCUAUCCAUGUACGACACUCCACUCGAUCGAGGCGCGAGGGAAGAGGAAGAUCUGGAGGGACACGGAGACCGACGGAGAGGAUCCAGGGAGGGACCUCAGCUCAACCAACCACCCAUGUGGAUCGGUAGCAAGACCGGCCCAGAGGGAAGAGCGGAGGAGGAGCACCUCGAUCGAUCACGCACUUGUUGGGGCCGGGGGGAAUCCUAGCCUAGCCUAGCCUAGCCUAGCUCAUCAUCAUCAUCUGAAUCACCGGCCAUUCGCGUCCUGUCCAUGACGCGCUGACGACCGACCACCUGCAGCUGUUCGAUCCUUCAGGGAACAAGAACGGCGGCGGCACAUUGCCAGGGCAAAAAUUGUCCUGAGCUUCUUCGAAACCCAGAGAUUUAGAUCAGGCACACAAUGUCAGCUUCUGAGUUCAGGAUUCCGUACCAGCAAGUUUCUUCCUCACAGCCUGCUGAGACUGCAAAUCAGUUCAAGACCUGCCGAUGUGGGGAGGGAGACACAUCUGAAACUUGUGACAGCCCGCCAACUUCUUGUCCUAAUUGCCAGGUCCUUAAGAGCGGGCAUUUACUACUUUCAUCAAAAGGAAUUGGAUGGACAUCAUGGAAAAAGCGCUGGUUUGUUCUUACAAGGGCAUCGUUAGUGUUCUUCAGAAGCGACCCUAAUGUGCCCCCUCCAAGAGGAGCUGAACCAAUUGUCACACUCGGCGGAAUCGACUUGAAUAGCUCCGGAAGUGUUGUCGUCAAAGAAGAAAGGAAACUUCUGACAGUGUUAUUUCCUGAUGGCCGCGAUGGACGGACUUUCACUCUGAAGGCCGAAACCAUAGAAGACCUUAAUGAGUGGAGAAGUUCAUUGGAAUAUGCUCUAGCACAAGCACCAUGUGUAGCAAAUACAACGGGGCAAAAUCCAAUAUUCAGCACUGAUGUAGCGGCAGAACCUGCUGAAGCUCCAGCUGAACAGUCGGAGGACAGUUCUGUUAUUGGCAGACCUGCAGAAUUUGCGCUUGUGGACGCAGAUGGCAGUCCGUCAUUUCUGGAAAAGGCCCUGAAGUUCAUUGAAGAUCAUGGGGUCAAGGUAGAAGGGAUCCUACGCCAGUCUGCUGACGUUGAAGAAGUCAAACGCCGAGUUCGGGAUUAUGAAAAGGGGAAAAACGAAUUCUCCCCAGAAGAGGAUGCACACGUUAUUGGUGACUGUAUUAAGUAUGUUCUUCGAGAGAUGCCAUCAUCUCCAGUUCCUGCAUCAUGUUGCACUGCCCUGGUUAAAGCAUACCGAACUGACAAGACAAGAAGACUUGAUGAGAUAAGUAGAGUGAUAUAUGAAGUUUUCCCAGAACCAAAUCGACAGUUAUUGCAGAGGGUUCUUAAGAUGAUGCAAAUCGUUGGGUCACACAAAGCUGUUAAUAGGAUGUCUCAAUCUGCUUUGGCGGCUUGCAUGGCACCACUCCUUCUCCGACCUCUUCUUCUUGGUGAAUGUGAAAUUGACAAUGACUUCAGUAUGGGAGGGGAUGGUUCGUUCCAGCUACUUCAAGCUGCUGCAGCUGCAAAUCAUGCCCAAGCUAUUGUUAUCAUUAUGAUGGAGGAAUUUGAUCAGAUAUUUGAUGACUUGGAAGAAGGUUCCUGUUCUUCAGACGCUUAUACGGGAUCUGAUGAUGAUGAUGUUGAUAAGGAGUAUUCCACAGAUAAUGACAUCCAUGACGACGAUGGUUCUUAUGAUUCUGGUGAAGAUGACAUUGAAGAAGACUUGGAUGACAAUAGUGAUCACUACUCUGAUGGCAGUGAACAUGAUAGUAAAAUCAACACUAAUGUCAAGGAUGACAAGGUUAAAAACAAAACUUCAGAAGCUGCAGUUGCACAAGCGGAGGAUACCUCUCAAAUGAAGAUCAAUAGUCGAUCCCACCCGAAACAAGAAACAUGUGGAUCAAAUGAAUCUAAAGAUCGCAUGGUAAAAUCAAAUUCUGGUUCAUCAUCUUCCAAUGAAAAAUCUAUGGAGAAAUCAAGCAGCUCAGGACACAAGGGCAAAAGAACCUUAUGGGGCCGUACUUCGGCAAGAAAAGACCUGUCAACAGAGGAGAUUGAAUACUGCGGUGAUGAUGAGACCCUUAUUGAUAAACUUGAGAACACCAAGACUGAUCUCCAAUCGAAAAUUGCAAAGGAGGCCAAGGAAAAUGCAAUCCUCCAGGCAAGUCUAGAAAGGCGGAAAGAAGAACUACGUGAGCGCCGUUUAGCACUUGAAAAAGAAGUUGAGAAUUUGAGAGACCAGCUACAGAAGGAGAGAAAUUUGAGGACAUCCUUGGAGUCUGGGAUAAUGAAUUUGCGAAGAGGGCAGGUGUCCUUGCCAUCAACAAUAGAUAGUAAGACUAAGGCUGAUCUUGAAGAAGUUGCGACUGCUGAAUCUGAUAUUAUGAACUUGAAGCAAAAGGUUUCUGAUCUUCAUGGGCAAGCCAGUGGCCAGCAGCUGUGCUGUGAAUCAUGCAACAAACGGUUCCUAAGUACAGACAGGACUGGCGGUACUGAAAGCUCCUCAGUGGAAGCAUCGUCAGUUGUCGGGAAUGAUUCUGCAUCUGACGUGGGUGAUGUUGCGCAACCAAGGAAGCAGACUGCGCAGCAUUCACCUUCUUCGACAGACAAGCCAGGUCAGGAGGUGGUCGGGAGCAUCAGCCAGAGGGCUCCUCAAAGGAUUCACUCGGUAGCCAGGGAGGGCCAAGACGGGUCGUCAUCCGGGUCGAAGUGGAAUUUUGCGCAGAAACACUAUUCAAACAGUCCACUGAUAUGGGGACUUCACGGAUCCAGUAAUGCUCAUUCGGGUGGCAGGCUAGAGGAAUCUGGUGGAAGCGCCGCACCAGCAACGUCGUUUGCGUUAGCCAAGCUGACAAACCGGCUCAACUUCCUCAAGGAACGGAGGGCGCUGCUGGCAAGCGAGAUGCAGAACCUGGAUUUGGGUCGGCUGCCAGCCGCCGCCGCUCCAUCAGCCAAGUCCCCAAGCCCAAAAGGGCCUGAGAAGAGGAAAACUUGAGGAGAGUUGAUGCUGAUCUGCCCCUUCGUGGUGUGCUGAAUAUAGACCGUGUUAAGCUAGUCUAUAUCUGAACCAGCAGUGUAAUUUGUGUGCAGGUACACAUGUAGAACGCGUCUGCAGCUAGGCAGGCUGUUCUGUUGGAUUCAUGAGAAUUGGGAACAGGAUGGCACAUAUUCUAAAGCUCAAAUUGAUUGCCUAGCAGCAUAUUAUAGGUUCAUAGUAACACAUGAAUAACAGUAGAGGUACAAGAAAGUGCAGAGAUAGAUCCUCGAGGUCUGUCUCUCAGGUCUCAAGUUCUCCUAGCUAGAUGAUGGUAGAUUAAUAGAUAUAUGCUGCUUCUACAAGCUUUCAACAGGAUGAAGGCAUG